UCAGAAGAAUCGGUAUACAGAAUUUCCCAGGUGAUUGAUGACACUGUUUGUUGGCAGCUAAGGUAAUUGCAUUCUUGGUCUCGAAAUGGAAAACACUCAGAGGAUCAGAGGCUACAGUCUCCAGACAUUUGCGAUUGUUGGGGCUGGACAAUGAACCCAAGCAACAGUGAAGCUAUGUGUCAGUUUUAUUUCAAUAUGGAUACAGCGUCUCAAUGGCAAAUGCAGAAGAAUCGGUAUACCGAAUUUCCCAGGUGAUUGAUGACACUGUUUGUUGGCAGCUAAGGUGAUUAAAUAGUUCAUGAGGAAAUUGGAAAAAUAGGAGAGAAUUGCUGACAGUUCGUAGGAGGUAAUUGCAUUCUUGGUCUCGAAAUGGAAAACACUCAGAGGAUCAGAGGCUACAGUCUCCAGACAUUUGCGAUUGUUGGGGCUGGACAAUGAACCCAAGCAACAGUGAAGCUAUGUGUCAGUUUUAUUUCAAUAUGGAUACAGCGUCUCAAUGGCAAAUGCAGAAGAAUCGGUAUACCGAAUUUCCCAGGUGAUUGAUGACACUGUUUGUUGGCAGCUAAGGUGAUUAAAUAGUUCAUGAGGAAAUUGGAAAAAUAGGAGAGAAUUGCUGACAGUUCGUAGGAGGUAAUUGCAUUCUUGGUCUCCCAAUGGAAAACAGUCAGAGGAUCAGAGGCUACAGUCUCCAGACAUUUGCGAUUGUUGGGGCUGGACAAUGGAACUAAGCAACAGUGAAGCUACGUGUCAGUUUUAUUUGAAUAUGGAUACAGCGUCUCAAUGGAAAAUGCAGAAACAAAUGCUGUUCUUUGACAGAACUAUGGCCAUUGCACGCUAUGGCCAUUUUGUC